AUUGAACGCUGGCGGCAGGCCUAACACAUGCAAGUCGAGCGGAUGAAGGGAGCUUGCUCCUGGAUUCAGCGGCGGACGGGUGAGUAAUGCCUAGGAAUCUGCCUGGUAGGGGGGGAUAACGUCCGGAAACGGGCGCUAAUACCGCAGACGUCCUGAGGGAGAAAGUGGGGGAUCUUCGGACCUCACGCUCGCAGAUGAGUCUAGGUCGGAUUAGCUAGUUGGUGGGGUAAAGGCCUACCAAGGCGACGAUCCGUAACUGGUCUGUGAGGAUGAUCAGUCACCCUGGAACUGAGACACGGUCCAGACUCCUACGGGAGGCAGCAGUGGGGAAUAUUGGACAAUGGGCGAAAGCCUGAUCCAGCCAUGCCGCGUGUGUGAAGAAGGUCUUCGGAUUGUAAAGCACUUUAAGUUGGGAGGAAGGGCAGUAAGUUAAUACCUUGCUGUUUUGACGUUACCAACAGAAUAAGCACCGGCUAACUUCGUG
rnacentral:rRNA from 1 species